rnacentral:SRP_RNA from 1 species
GCUGGGCACAGUGGCACAUGCCUGUAGUCCCAGCUACUUGGGAGGCUGAGAUGGGAGGAUCAUUUGAGCCCAGGAGUUCUGGGCUGUAGUGGGCUAUGCCAAUUGGGUGUCUGCACUAAGUUUGGCAUCAAUAUGGUAACCUCCAGGGAGCAAGCAAAGGACCAGCAGGUUGCCUAAGGAGGGGUGAACCGGCCCAGGUUGGAAACGGAGCAGGUCAAAACUCCCAUGCUGAUCAGUAUGUAGUGGGAUCGUGCCUGUGAAUAGCCACUGUACUCCAGCCUGAGCAACAUAGUGAGACCCCAUCUCU